rnacentral:rRNA from 1 species
UACGGAGGGUGCAAACGUUGCUCGGAAUCAUUGGGCGUAAAGCGCACGUAGGCGGCUCGUUAAGUCGGGUGUGAAAGCCCUGGGCUCAACCCAGGAAGUGCAUUCGAAACUGGCGAGCUUGAAUAUGGAAGAGGGUCGCGGAAUUCCCGGUGUAGAGGUGAAAUUCGUAGAUAUCGGGAAGAACACCAGUGGCGAAGGCGCUCUACUGGGCCACAACUGACGCUGGAGGGACGAAAAGCUAGGGGAGCGAAAGGG